AGCUGGGUAAAAAAGAAGAAAAUUAGUUAUCUUGUGAACCUCUCAUUAACCACUAAUAAAGUACGUUACCUGCUUUUUUGCCUUUAUAAAUUACAGUUCUGGACCCAUCAUGAUCGUUUGUUCAUAAAAUGCCUCCUUGUAACAGCAUGGUCAAUCAAUUCUUUUAAUGGAUGUUCCUGAUGUACAGCCAGCUUUAGUAAUUACAUUUAAAGUGGCUUAAUUCAGAGCUGUGGCAAGACCCAGUGAAGAAUCCUGAUUUUAUCAGAAUUUAAAAGCCUGAAGACCUGUAAAGAAUGGUGUCUCCAUUAUCUGUCCUCAUUUGAGAAAAGCAGAUUGCAGGAUUAACUGAACUACUGCAUAAACAAAUUAAAUUUGUGUAGACAAUGACACAAAUGUUGUUCAUCAUUAAGAUUUCUGGAUUAAUAAAAGCCAGAAAAACAGGGCCACCACAGCGCUGCAAUAUGUUCUUUGUACUAGCGUGAUGAAGCUAAAUUGAAAUUAUUUCUAGGAGGAAGCUCUUGCAACUUUUUCCUUCAGUUACAGCAUUCACAACAGCAUUCUUCCAUGAAAAAGGAGGAAAAGGAUGGAGAGGGCACUGCUCCCCGUAGAAACUCAUGGCUGUAAAUAUAACUGGGGGCAGCCAGAUUACAAAGCUGUGAUUUACAUCCCUCUGUAAUGAAAGAUAAUUUUCACAGCUUGGGUGAGAUGCUCGGAGUGUAAUUCUUGUUGAUGUUCACAGUGGUCAGGAGGUGCCCCACACUCAUCUUCGUAAUGACCAAGCAGAUGUCAGCAGGCUGACCCGGGAAGUUGGAAGAGGGGGGCAUUUGUGUAGUUGCCACCAACAUUCAUGCCUUGGGAAUGGCAGCAGGACCCUGGCACUGCCCUCUGGAGCACAGGAACCUUCUUGCCUGGUUCAGCUGUGUGGCAUUUAAAAAACCAUCUCACCGUCUGUCCAAUGAACAAAAGCCUAAGGUGGAGUUGCUCAAAUGUAAUCCCAGUGUGCUAAUGGUGUGGGAUCCAGCAGAUUCCAGACAGCAGCAGGGCAUUCUAAUGUUCCUCUUAACGAACAACCACUCUUCAUUUCAGAAGGUUUGGGUUAAAACCAGCAUUUCCAUGUAGCAUGCAUUUCAUGUUUAAAUAAUCACUGAUUAUCCAGCCUGUAAGUAAUUAAAUCCUCUCUACCUUUCAACAAUAAUGCUGAAAACAUUAAAUGUUAUUCUUUUCCUUAAUGCAUUUGUUGUAUUGCGAGCUUUAUUAGCAUUGAGUCAACAAACAGUCCAGUGCGGUGUUUCUGCUUAACAGAUCACCUUCAUCCUAAUGUUAACAGCACCAGGAUGUGGGAGUUGAACUUCAGUGGAAAAACCCAAAUGGUUACUUCGAAAUAAGUGAAUGCAGCUCAAAGUACUUUUGGGCAUUUAGCUUGUACACCCAAUAUGAAAAUGCAAUGUGAAAAUAAAAGACAGGGCUUGCAGAGAGCAGCCAAGGAAACAUCUGGUGCUGUUAUCCAUGUUUACUGUAUCUGGGUGGAUUUUCCAAAGCUUCUCAGGGAAAGGGAGCCUGACUCCCUUCACAUAUUCCUGCAGCAUGUUUGGCAGCCUCAUGUUCCAUGGCCUGUGCAGUACCUCGUGCAGCUGAAGCUCUGCCACUUUAUGUGAUUUUCUGCAGGGUGCCCACCUCCUGCACAUCAACACACAGGCCUGAUGAGAACUGCCUGCCAAUCUCCACAGAUCCAUGCAUGGAUCACCUGUUCCCUUCCUCAGUGAAAACUGAAUCCUACCUGCAUUCUGGCACUGGGGAAAAAACAUUCCCUUGUGACUACAAUUCACCUAAACCCCCCGUGCUUUUUUGUACUACGCAAAAGUACUGCUGUAAAACCCACUCCCCCAUCUCCUUCUUGCUGAAGAGUCCUGGUCAUGUCUGCUGGGGGCUUCUCCGCCCUCAUGGUACCCAAGUGUCCAAGAUUGAAAGGCAAGAUGUUUUCUAGUACCAUCUGUGUAGCAGUUGCCCUCUGGGCAGUUUUCCUCAUCUCCUGUUAAUGGGCCCAUCAACGUCUUGCCACAUGACUCAGAGAUAACACUCUCCAGGAGCCAGUUCUGUGAUCAAAGACACACCUGUGACUCAAAUGACAUCAGCCCAUUGUGAGAUGCUCCACCCAGGGGGGAGGAGAUAAGCAUUCCCACCUAGAUAUAGCCUGAGAUUUCUAGACAGAGAAGCAGCCUUCCCAUAGGUUUCCAAGAGGACACAGCUGGGGUUUUCCACUGGACCGACUACACCAUUUCCACAGGACCACUGCACAAACAGAAACCACAUCUGCCACUCCAAGAGGACUGCAGCCACUCCAAUUUGAACUGCUACCAACACUCUGGCCAAAGGAGUGUCAAGUUGUAUUCUGACUUUGUCGGUGGUCUUCCUUUUUUGUAUCAUUGCAUGUAUUUUGUCUCUUUUCCCUUUUUCCAAUAAAUUGUAUUUCUGA